GGCCCCAAUCCACACCCCAAGAGAGGGUUCUUGGAUCUCCCACAAGAAAGAAUUCAGGGGCAGUGAAGAGACAUGUGGUCUAGGACACAUAUGACAACUCUGCUCCAUGAAGCCAUCUAGGCACCUAGACUCCUUCUGUCUUGUCACUUUACUAUCCAGAUGAUCUCCACAUUUGAUGAUUAAAGCCUACUCAUUAGUACCACUUCUAGCUCGUGGCAAGAGGAAGGAGAGAAUGCAGCUGGCCUUAUCACAACUGCUCAACAAGAUCAGAGUUGCUGAGUGAAAGGAGCAAUCAAGUCUAACAAAAACACUCCAACCC